rnacentral:misc_RNA from 1 species
AAUUUGAUCUGGAUAUAUAUUGAACUUAUUGAUUGCAUCAUAUGAAUACUCCUCCGUUUUGUAUCUAUAGAUCUCGUUCAAUUUUUUCACAUCGAUCCAGUAGUAUUCCCUAAUAUGAAAUGACAAUGCUAGCAAUCGAUUGUUAAGUGCUCUAACAAGGUCUGUUGAUGCCUCCUCUGGAGCAAGCAUCUCCCGUGCACCAAGUAAGGCUGAAUAAUAUAACGCCUGAAUUUCCAGAGGGUGGCCAUGGAUUCCCAUGCGACGAUCUAUCAUG